rnacentral:tRNA from 1 species
GGCGCUGUAGUGUAGCGGUUAUCACUCAAGAUUCUGAUCUGGAAAUAGCCUUUACCUAGAUUCUUGGAACCCAGGUUCGAUUCCUGGCAGUGCCU